GAGCGAACAGAAGGGAGCUUGCUCCCGGAUGUUAGCGGCGGACGGGUGAGUAACACGUGGGUAACCUGCCUGUAAGACUGGGAUAACUCCGGGAAACCGGAGCUAAUACCGGAUAGUUCCUUGAACCGCAUGGUUCAAGGAUGAAAGACGGUUUCGGCUGUCACUUACAGAUGGACCCGCGGCGCAUUAGCUAGUUGGUGAGGUAACGGCUCACCAAGGCGACGAUGCGUAGCCGACCUGAGAGGGUGAUCGGCCACACUGGGACUGAGACACGGCCCAGACUCCUACGGGAGGCAGCAGUAGGGAAUCUUCCGCAAUGGACGAAAGUCUGACGGAGCAACGCCGCGUGAGUGAUGAAGGUUUUCGGAUCGUAAAGCUCUGUUGUUAGGGAAGAACAAGUGCAAGAGUAACUGCUUGCACCUUGACGGUACCUAACCAGAAAGCCACGGCUAACUACGUGCCAGCAGCCGCGGUAAUACGUAGGUGGCAAGCGUUGUCCGGAAUUAUUGGGCGUAAAGGGCUCGCAGGCGGUUUCUUAAGUCUGAUGUGAAAGCCCCCGGCUCAACCGGGGAGGGUCAUUGGAAACUGGGAAACUUGAGUGCAGAAGAGGAGAGUGGAAUUCCACGUGUAGCGGUGAAAUGCGUAGAGAUGUGGAGGAACACCAGUGGCGAAGGCGACUCUCUGGUCUGUAACUGACGCUGAGGAGCGAAAGCGUGGGGAGCGAAAAGGAUUAGAUACCCUGGUAGUCCACGCCGUAAACGAUGAGUGCUAAGUGUUAGGGGGUUUCCGCCCC
rnacentral:rRNA from 1 species